GUGCUCGCUUCGGCAGCACAUGUACUAAAACUGGAACGACACAGAGAAGGUUAGCACACCCCUGCGCGAGGAUGCCAGCAAAUUCAUGAUGCGUUCCGUAUUUUU
ensembl:snRNA U6 U6 spliceosomal RNA